rnacentral:lncRNA from 1 species
CAGAAAUAGACGACUACUACUUCUUAAAAAAAAGGGAGUUUUUGGAAAACUAAAGGAGUUCGCAGGGUCAUACAUCAUCUUUUUCUUUCAUCUUGAAAACUAAGAAACGAAGAAAAAUUGGAUCAUGGAAAUACAGGAAUUUACAUCAGCUCAUUUGGCAGAAUGCUGAAGCCUUACUGGUCUGAGGUGUCAGAGGUCAGAGCCUGAGACUGACAGAGGAGCCACAGGUGACCAGCAAACUGCAGAAGCUCUGGGGAGAACUCCAUGGAGUCAGGCUAAAAACAGCAGCAACCAGAAACUGUAAGAACUGAGCAGAGAUACCAGCUGCACCACUAGAGAGACAAAGUGUGUAGCUCACUGCCUAGUACAGCAAAAUAGCCACAAUCCUCAGAAGGACACAACAGAAUCUGGAAUCACUAGAAAGUAUUAUCUACAAUGCUCAUUCUUAACCAUGCAAAGAAGAAACAGGAAAGUGUGAUUCAAAGUCAGAAAAAAGUCAGUCAAUAGAAAUCUACUCUGUUAGGGACAGGUGUUGGUGAAUUAAGUAAUUAGAGACUCUAAAGCAGCUAUGAUAAAUAUGUUCACAGAGG